CAAUAGCGUAUAUUAAUGUUGUUGCAGUUAAAAAGCUCGUAGUUGGAUUUCUGGUGGGAGCGGUCGGUCCGCCGUAAGGUGUGUACUUGGUUGUCUCCUGUCAUCCUUGUGGGAACUGCUCUGGCAUUAAGUUGUCGGGGUUAGGGAACACAUCGUUUACUGUGAAAAAAUUAGAGUGUUUAAAGCAGGCUUAUGCCGUUGAAUACAUUAGCAUGGAAUAAUAAGAUAGGACUUUGGCGUCUAUUUUGUUGGUUUGCACACCAAGGUAAUGAUUAAUAGGGAUAGUUGGGGGUAUUCGUAUUUAAUUGUCAGAGGUGAAAUUCUUGGAUUUAUGAAAGACGAACUUCUGCGAAAGCAUUUACCAAAGAUGUUUUCAUUAA
rnacentral:rRNA from 1 species